GACGUAGGGCGCGAGCGUUGUCCGGAUUUAUUGGGCGUAAAGAGCUCGUAGGCGGCUUGUUGCGUCGACUGUGAAAACCCGCGGCUUAACUGCGGGCUUGCAGUUGAUACGGGCAGGCUAGAGUUCGGUAGGGGAGACUGGAAUUCCUGGUGUAGCGGUGAAAUGCGCAGAUAUCAGGAAGAACACCCGUGGCGAAGGCGGCUCUCUGGAACGCAACUGACGCUGAGACGCGAAAGCGUGGGGAGCAAACGGG
rnacentral:rRNA from 1 species